rnacentral:rRNA from 1 species
ACCAGACUCCUACGGGAGGCAGCAGUGGGGAAUAUUGCACAAUGGGGGAAACCCUGAUGCAGCGACGCCGCGUGAGCGAUGAAGUAUUUCGGUAUGUAAAGCUCUAUCAGCAGGGAAGAAAAUGACGGUACCUGAUUAAGAAGCCCCGGCUAACUACGUGCCAGCAGCCGCGGUAAUACGUAGGGGGCAAGCGUUAUCCGGAUUUACUGGGUGUAAAGGGAGCGUAGACGGUGAUGCAAGUCAGAAGUGAAAGCCCGGGGCUCAACUCCGGGACUGCUUUUGAAACUGUGUGACUGGAGUGCAGGAGAGGUAAGCGGAAUUCCUGGUGUAGCGGUGAAAUGCGUAGAUAUCAGGAGGAACACCAGUGGCGAAGGCGGCUUACUGGACUGUAACUGACGUUGAGGCUCGAAAGCGUGGGGAGCAAACAGGAUUAGAUACCCCUGUA